rnacentral:rRNA from 1 species
AGUCACUGACAUUAGAUACCCCGGUAGUCCAGGGUGUAAACGCUGCAGACUUGGUGUUGAAGGCCCUUUGGGGGCAUUCAGUGCCGGAGAGAAGUUGUUAAGUCUGCUACUUGGGGAGUACGUCCGCAAGGAUGAAACUUAAAGGAAUUGGCGGGGGAGCACCGCAACGGGAGGAGCGUGCGGUUUAAUUGGAUUCAACACCGUAAACUCACCAGGGAAGACUGUUACAUGAAGGCCGAGAUGAAGACUCUGCUAGAUUUUCAG